CCUACGGGCGGCAGCAGUGAGGAAUAUUGGUCAAUGGACGCAAGUCUGAACCAGCCAUGUCGCGUGAAGGAUGACGGCCCUACGGGUUGUAAACCGCUUUUGUCGGGGGGCAAACGCCGAUACGCGUCCCUCCCUGAGAGUACCCUACGAAUAAGCAUCGGCUAACUCCGUGCCAGCAGCCGCGGUAAUACGGAGGAUUCAAGCGUUAUCCGGAUUUAUUGGGUUUAAAGGGUGCGUAGGCGGGCGGAGAAGUUAGCGGUGAAAUCCCGGGGCUCAACCUCGUACCUGCCGCUGAAACUGCGCGGCUAGAGAGGGCGUGCAGUAGGCGGAAUGUGUGGUGUAGCGGUGAAAUGCUUAGAGAUCACGCAGAACACCGAUUGCGAAGGCAGCGUACCGGGGUACAACUGACGUUGAUGCACGAAAGCGUGGGGAGCGAACAGGAUUAGAUACCCUAGUAGUC
rnacentral:rRNA from 1 species